CCUACGGGCGGCAGCAGUGAGGAAUAUUGGUCAAUGGACGCAAGUCUGAACCAGCCAUGCCGCGUGCAGGAAGACGGCUCUAUGAGUUGUAAACUGCUUUUGUACGAGGGUAAACGCAGAUACUCGUAUAUGUCUGAACGUAUCGUACGAAUAAGGAUCGGCUAACUCCGUGCCAGCAGCCGCGGUAAUACGGAGGAUUCAAGCGUUAUCCGGAUUGAUUGGGUUGAAAGGGUGCGUAGGCGGUAGGAUAAGUUAGAGGUGAAAUCCCGAGGCUCAACUUCGGAAUUGCCUCUGAUACUGUUCGGCUAGAGAGUAGUUGCGGUAGGCGGAAUGUAUGGUGUAGCGGUGAAAUGCUUAGAGAUCAUAAAGAACACCGAUUGCGAAGGCAGCUUACCAAGCUACUUCUGACGUUGAGGCACGAAAGCGUGGGGAGCAAACAGGAUUAGAUACCCCUGUAGUC
rnacentral:rRNA from 1 species